GUGAUAGCUCAGUCAGUAGAGCAUGAGACUCGUAAUCUCAGGGUUGUGGGUUCAAGUCUCAGGUUGGACA